GGGAGGGAGGAGGGGAGCUGGAAGGAGCUCUCCCUCGCUGUUUGUCCACACGCCCCAGCAUGCAGUGGACAGAAGCUGCUUUAAGGAAGAAAAAGCAGAAUCUACGUUUAUGCUCUGAUCCUACAAAUACGUAAAAGUAAACUACUUCCAGUAGGACUUAUCCACAGUGAAGAGUGCAAAGCCUUGCAGACCUUCAGCAGGAAAGUAAACCUCUACUUCCUCGAGAGCUCCAAUUCAGCACUUGGAUCAAUAACUCCGCUUACUGCCAGCAAAUUUCAUCAUGGGGAAAAAAAAGGCAAGCUGGACCUAAAAGCUAACCCUAAUUAAUUCAGCAAGGGAACAGUCAAAUAAUGGUUACUUUACAUUUCAAACAAGGAUAGUAAUAAUAAUGAAUUAUGAGGCUGUACUUCAAGGGAAAUUAAAGCAUCUUGAGCUGAAACCAAAUGUUUAAAAACUCCCUACGCAGAGAGAGGGCAAAGCACAAGUAAUCACUGAUGUUCUUUCUUUCUUUUUACCUUUCUUCAGGCUUCAGAUCCAUUAGGAAAUUCUGCCUUACCCAAGAACAAUGUCAAGAUGAAAAGACAUCCUUAGGUUAUAAAGCAGAUUAAAAAAAAAUCCUUUGGGGGGGGAGUAAAUAUAGGGAAUCAUGGGAAAGUUAUGCAAAUAACUUUCGUGCCAGACUGCCACACAUACCAAUUUGAAAAGCCUUUUGGCAGCUUCCGAUUCUAUGAAAGCUUGCUCAAGAUUUCAUCUUUUUGAGUAAUUUAAAUAACUGUGCUGUGAUAUUGGAGUCUUUCUGUUUUACUUUAAGGGGAAAUAAUAUAUAUAUUUAAAAAAUAAAUCAAACUUUGCCAUCAUUUUAAAACUACUUUUUCAAUCUAGAGGCAAGAUACAGAGAAGAUGCUGAACAAAUACAUUUCUGGUAAACUCUCAAAAACACGGUACAAAGUAAAAAAUAAAUGAACUCUUCAUGACACCUUAGAGGUAGCAAAAUGGUAUUGCCCUGUAUCUGAGGUUCCCACAGCACAAAGCUGCUGUUCAGUCAUGAAGUUCUGCUGAAAUCACAAGUGGCAGGAGCAGACCUUUAAGCAGUUUAUGAGCACCAAAUACCUCUUGAGGUUUAAUUACUCUUGAUAUGCAUUCUGAGAUUUUUCUGAGAUGACAUAGUAGGGGGUGGGGUGCACGUGUGCAAUCUGCUAAAUUAUUAAAAAAAGAACUUGGGUACAAAGAAAUAAAAGGGGAAAAAUAUAAGAAGAAAGAAAAGACCAAACCAGAGCAUAAAUAAAGAAAAGCAAGUACUGAAGGAGACACUAGAAAAAGAAGUGAAUUUAUUACAGUAACAAGUUGUUCUGAUAAGAACUAAUCUGCCUACUUUGCUUUCACUAUAAUCUUAACUGAUAAUUACCAUCUUCACAUUAGCCCACUUCAGCCUUAAAUGUUCACACAUCUGCCAUCUUGAACUGGAGUGUAUGACAUCAUCACAGACUACACCAUUGAGGUGUCCUUAUGUGUCACUCACUACAAGUGUACCAAAUUUGGUUCAAAUAGGUUAGGCAGUCCACAAGUUAGCCCACUUGUGCCUCAACCAUUCAUGCAUCUGCCAUAUUGAACUGGGGGUGAUGACAUCAUCACAAACUAUGGCGUUGAGGUAUUCCUGUGUGUCACUACAACUGUACCUAAUUUGGUUCACAUUGGUCCAGGCAUUGUGAAGUUGAUACACAAGGGCAUGUAUACAGAAUGCCAGGUGAUCUCAUAAGCUUACUUUCCUCAAGGAGAGUAGGGUAAAAAAUGGAUUUUUGUUACAGUGGGAAGUGCUGGAGACUCCUUUUUGUGCAGGAAAUUCAAUCCAGUGGAGAGACCGUCCCUCAAGACUAGAUGGGCUACAGCUGGCUUGAAUUACUGUUUUGUUGAAAAGACAAUUGCUGCCUGGGUCGAAUGGUAUUGUGCUUGUCCAGUUUAUUUUGUUGUGUGCAGUUUGAAUGGUUUAGCAUUAGGCAAAUUGAUCCAAUAAUCAGUCGUUAGUAGACAGGAUUAUUUCUUAAUGUUAAAGACAGGAGUGCAGAUUGAAUCCGGUACCUGGGUUCUAACAACAGUACAAAAUAUACACGUAUUGCAUAAGUUAUAUGGGAGGGAGAAGAAUUUAGAAAUUGUUAUAGGUGUGUGUGACUAAGAGUAGCUCAGGGAGAACCAUCUUGUGAGAGUGAGUGGUACACUCAGUGGUGUGGAAGAACUCCCUCUGGAGAGAGAAGGAGGCAAGUUCCAGGUUUAUGGAGCUGAAAUGCAUGGCUUGCUCACUUACAUUUCCAUUGGCAAUUCAAGCUCACUGUUGAGGGCUUCGAAAUCAGUAAUGGAAACUUGUUUUUAGCAGUCUGUAGAAAGAUGUAUAUUAUGUAUGCAAAAUUCAAAUAGCCAUUCCAUUUCUUGUAACAAAAAUAAAGCAUUUUAUCUCAAA